UAUAAUGGGUCAGCGACUUAUAUUCUGUAGCAAGGUUAACCGAAUAGGGGAGCCGAAGGGAAACCGAGUCUUAACUGGGCGUUAAGUUGCAGGGUAUAGACCCGAAACCCGGUGAUCUAGCCAUGGGCAGGUUGAAGGUUGGGUAACACUAACUGGAGGACCGAACCGACUAAUGUUGAAAAAUUAGCGGAUGACUUGUGGCUGGGGGUGAAAGGCCAAUCAAACCGGGAGAUAGCUGGUUCUCCCCGAAAGCUAUUUAGGUAGCGCCUCGUGAAUUCAUCUCCGGGGGUAGAGCACUGUUUCGGCAAGGGGGUCAUCCCGACUUACCAACCCGAUGCAAACUGCGAAUACCGGAGAAUGUUAUCACGGGAGACACACGGCGGGUGCUAACGUCCGUCGUGAAGAGGGAAACAACCCAGACCGCCAGCUAAGGUCCCAAAGUCAUGGUUAAGUGGGAAACGAUGUGGGAAGGCCCAGACAGCCAGGAUGUUGGCUUAGAAGCAGCCAUCAUUUAAAGAAAGCGUAAUAGCUCACUGGUCGAGUCGGCCUGCGCGGAAGAUGUAACGGGGCUAAACCAUGCACCGAAGCUGCGGCAGCGACACUGUGUGUUGUUGGGUAGGGGAGCGUUCUGUAAGCCUGUGAAGGUGUGCUGUGAGGCAUGCUGGAGGUAUCAGAAGUGCGAAUGCUGACAUAAGUAACGAUAAAGCGGGUGAAAAGCCCGCUCGCCGGAAGACCAAGGGUUCCUGUCCAACGUUAAUCGGGGCAGGGUGAGUCGACCCCUAAGGCGAGGCCGAAAGGCGUAGUCGAUGGGAAACAGGUUAAUAUUCCUGUACUUGGUGUUACUGCGAAGGGGGGACGGAGAAGGCUAUGUUGGCCGGGCGACGGUUGUCCCGGUUUAAGCGUGUAGGCUGGUUUUCCAGGCAAAUCCGGAAAAUCAAGGCUGAGGCGUGAUGACGAGGCACUACGGUGCUGAAGCAACAAAUGCCCUGCUUCCAGGAAAAGCCUCUAAGCAUCAGGUAACAUCAAAUCGUACCCCAAACCGACACAGGUGGUCAGGUAGAGAAUACCAAGGCGCUUGAGAGAACUCGGGUGAAGGAACUAGGCAAAAUGGUGCCGUAACUUCGGGAGAAGGCACGCUGAUAUGUAGGUGAAGUCCCUCGCGGAUGGAGCUGAAAUCAGUCGAAGAUACCAGCUGGCUGCAACUGUUUAUUAAAAACACAGCACUGUGCAAACACGAAAGUGGACGUAUACGGUGUGACGCCUGCCCGGUGCCGGAAGGUUAAUUGAUGGGGUCAGCGCAAGCGAAGCUCUUGAUCGAAGCCCCGGUAAACGGCGGCCGUAACUAUAACGGUCCUAAGGUAGCGAAAUUCCUUGUCGGGUAAGUUCCGACCUGCACGAAUGGCGUAAUGAUGGCCAGGCUGUCUCCACCCGAGACUCAGUGAAAUUGAACUCGCUGUGAAGAUGCAGUGUACCCGCGGCAAGACGGAAAGACCCCGUGAACCUUUACUAUAGCUUGACACUGAACAUUGAGCCUUGAUGUGUAGGAUAGGUGGGAGGCUUUGAAGUGUGGACGCCAGUCUGCAUGGAGCCGACCUUGAAAUACCACCCUUUAAUGUUUGAUGUUCUAACGUGGACCCGUGAUCCGGGUUGCGGACAGUGUCUGGUGGGUAGUUUGACUGGGGCGGUCUCCUCCUAAAGAGUAACGGAGGAGCACGAAGGUUGGCUAAUCCUGGUCGGACAUCAGGAGGUUAGUGCAAUGGCAUAAGCCAGCUUGACUGCGAGCGUGACGGCGCGAGCAGGUGCGAAAGCAGGUCAUAGUGAUCCGGUGGUUCUGAAUGGAAGGGCCAUCGCUCAACGGAUAAAAGGUACUCCGGGGAUAACAGGCUGAUACCGCCCAAGAGUUCAUAUCGACGGCGGUGUUUGGCACCUCGAUGUCGGCUCAUCACAUCCUGGGGCUGAAGUAGGUCCCAAGGGUAUGGCUGUUCGCCAUUUAAAGUGGUACGCGAGCUGGGUUUAGAACGUCGUGAGACAGUUCGGUCCCUAUCUGCCGUGGGCGCUGGAGAACUGAGGGGGGCUGCUCCUAGUACGAGAGGACCGGAGUGGACGCAUCACUGGUGUUCGGGUUGUCAUGCCAAUGGCACUGCCCGGUAGCUAAAUGCGGAAGAGAUAAGUGCUGAAAGCAUCUAAGCACGAAACUUGCCCCGAGAUGAGUUCUCCCUGACCCUUUAAGGGUCCUGAAGGAACGUUGAAGACGACGACGUUGAUAGGCCGGGUGUGUAAGCGCAGCGAUGCGUUGAGCUAACCGGUACUAAUGAACCGUGAGGCUUAACCUUACAACGCCGAAGGUGUUU
rnacentral:rRNA from 1 species